UAAAGUCUCAUCAUCAUCUUCUACUAAUGUCAGUGGGGUCGCUAGCCUGUAUUGGCACUUUUGAACCUGUCACACAGAGCCUGGUAUGGCUCUGGAGAAUGUGAGUGUGUUACGGCACUCCCGACAAAGUUAAACCGCCGUUUAGUAGAGCUUCCCCUUGCAGAGGUAUAGGCACAGUUACUGUAGAACCACAAACUCCCG